GGGGCUGUAGCUCAGUGGUAGAGCACUUGCCUAGCAUGUGUGAGGCUCUGGGUUCAAUCCUCAGCACCA
rnacentral:tRNA from 1 species